rnacentral:misc_RNA from 1 species
UUUCCGUAGGUGAACCUGCGGAAGGAUCAUUCAUAAUAAAGUGUUUUAUGGCACUUUUUAAAAAUCCAUAUCCACCUUGUGUGCAAUGUUAGAUCUCGUCAAUCUUGGCGAGAUUUUUAUACAUCAACUCAUUCUUUAACUAAUUUGUCUGAAAAAUAUUAUGAAUACUUAAUUCAAAAUACAACUUUCAACAACGGAUCUCUUGGCUCUCGCAUCGAUGAAGAGCGCAGC